AACUUUCGACAACGGAUCUCUCGGCUCUCGCGUCGAUGAAGAACGUAGCGAACUGCGAAAAUUAAUGCGACCCGCAACACGUGAGUCAUCGAGUCUUUGAACGCAAAUUGCACCCGACGGGUUUACUUGUCGGGUCUGCCUGUCUGAGUAUCAGUACGUUCCCAAAAAGUAUUAGUAUUUUUUGGCUGCUUGUCGCAAGACAGACCUGAGUGUUCGGUCGAAAGACUGAUCCCUUUAAAAGGAUAGAAUCGCGAUCGUUAUUAAUGAUCAGUAUGUUACUCAUCUCUGAUGUGCUUACUGUUGUUUCCAAGUAACGCUCGCCGUUCCCGUACAAAACAUACCUCAACUUUUGAUCUCAGAUCAGGCAGGAUGACCCGCUGAACUUAAGCAUAUCAAUAAGCGGAGGCU
rnacentral:misc_RNA from 1 species